rnacentral:rRNA from 1 species
UACGUAGGCAGCGAGCGUUGUUCGGAGUUACUGGGCGUAAAGGGUGUGUAGGCGGUUGUUUUAAGUUUGGUGUGAAAUCUCCCGGCUCAACUGGGAGGGUGCGCCGAAUACUGAAUGACUUCGAGUACGGGAGAGGUGAGUGGAAUUCCUGGUGUAGCGGUGAAAUGCGCAGAUAUCAGGAAGAACACCCGUGGCGAAGGCGGCUCUCUGGGACGGUACUGACGCUAGACGCGAAAGCGUGGGGAGCAAACAGG